UGCGUAGGUGGUUUCUUAAGUCAGAGGUGAAAGGCUACGGCUCAACCGUAGUAAGCCUUUGAAACUGAGAAACCUGAGUGCAGGAGAGGAGAGUGGAAUUCCUAGUGUAGCGGUGAAAUGCGUAGAUAUUAGGAGGAACACCAGUUGCGAAGGCGGCUCUCUGGACUGUAACUGACACUGAGGCACGAAAGCGUGGGGAGCAAACA
rnacentral:rRNA from 1 species